UAAUCUCUCUUCUCACAUCUCUCUUCUCUCUCUUUCUCUUUCUCUGAAUACAGGAAGGAGACGUGGGCCAAACACGUGACUACGCUGGUGUAAUAUCUUCUUUUACGUCUUUCUUUUAUGUUUUCACUUUCUUCCUCUCGUCCUCCUUGUUUACAAACAGUCGUCAUAGGCAGUUCUCUCUCUCUCUCUAACUGCGUAAUAGAAGAAAAACCAUCCGAUAUUGGUACCAAUUCCUUCUUUCUGCGAGAAAGUUUAUUGCCAAUAAAGAAAUAACUUAAGAUUUAACACAGAUCGUAAGUACCCAUUAGCAACGAAGUUCAAUAAAACAGCAAGUAUUACUGCAUUUUUAUUACUUGGAUCAUACAAUAUUUUACAAUAAAAUAAUUCAUAUCAAUAAA